GGAUCACCAGCCAAUGCAGAACACUAAGCUCUUGAAAGUAUCCAUUGGUUAUCCUAAGAUUUCAUUAGAGCUUCCAAGAAGAUGUUUACUUUAAGUGACCUACUUCUGCCUGGGUAUUGGCAAAUUUCUUUCUUUAUCCUUGAAGUUCAGUAGCUUCAUCAGAAUGUAUCUCGGUCUUGAUGUGAUUCUCUAUUACAUUUUCCUGUUAAUGAUGUUUUCAGUCCCACUUCUCACUACUGACCUUCCUCGUUCAUCGGUCACUGACUUGGCGCGUCUCUGGGGUUCUGCCCAGAAGAUUUAGCCUUCCUCCUUCGCCUCAGCCCCUCUAACUCAACAAAAAUCCAGUGGAAGGCUUUUCAGCAGGUUUAAUAGACGACAAUGAUCUCUAUCGUUGGGAAGUCCUUAUUAUUGGUCCUCCAGAUACACUUUAGAUUAUGUUCAUGCGAAUGAAGGUGCUGUAGGAGGCCAUAGGUGUUGGAUUCCCUGGAGCUGGAGUAACACCUGAUUAUAAGCCAUUUGAUAUGAAUAUUAAGAACCAAAUUGAAGUCAUUUAGAGGCUUUUAACUGCUGAGCCAUUGCUCCAGCCAAAAAAGAAAAAUAAUCCUAUGGAAUUUAGAGAGAUAUUUCAGCAG
rnacentral:lncRNA from 1 species